AUUGAACGCUGGCGGCAGGCCUAACACAUGCAAGUCGAGCGAGCGGCGGACGGGUGAGUAAUGUCUGGCAACCUGCCUGAUGGUGGGGGAGAACUACUGGACACGGUAGCUAAUACCGCAUACCAUCAGAUGUGCCCAGAUGGGAUUAGCUAGUAGGUGGGGUAACGGCUCACCUAGGCGACGAUCACUAGCUGGUCUGAGAGGAUGACCAGCCACACUGGAACGGAGACAAGGUCCAGACUCCCACGGGAGGCAGCAGUGGGGAAGAUUGCACAAGGGGCGCAAGCCUGAAGCAGCCAUGCCGCGUGUGUGAAGAAGGCCUUCGGGUUGGAAAGCACUUUCAGCGGGGAGGCGUUACCAGCAGAAGAAGCACCGGCUAACUCCGUGCCAGCAGCCGCGGUAAUAC
rnacentral:rRNA from 1 species